AUCCGUUGUGUACAAUGUCAGAAAGUUCUAAAAACAACUGUCAGAUCACGAGAGAUGCGAGCUGUGAACUGAGAACUGAAAUACUUAUUAUAAUCCCAGAAUGAGAUCUUUAUCGAGAAGCGGAAACAGUUGCGUCCUCCUAUGCAAAUAUGAAUAGAAUCAAUGAAGACUCGAGGCGCUCGGCGAUGAGUUGAAAUCGAGUAUUAUUUAUAGGCAGACAUAUGGACAGACAGCUCGUUUUAUAGCGCCGUGUGCAAUAAAUCGCGUAAAUAUGACAAUAAUUUAAACUCGUAUUCUAUGGUUCCUAAUCGUGAUCAUAAACUAUACAAAUUUAUGCACCUAUUAAAAGUUCCACCUUCAAUAUUCCUCGACAUAAGUCAAAGUCAAAAACUCUACGAUGGUUUCUCUUGACAUUUCAUCAGGCUACUUAAGAGGGCCAGGGGAAAUAAAAACCACAGUUUUUAUUACCAAAAGAGUCAACCAAAAAUGAACUCGUACAUAAAGGAAAUUUCAAAACACAACAAACGUUUUCAGUUCCGUCCUGCUUGUGCCAAAAAUAUCAUGCACUUUGUUUUUGGCAAUAUACUUGGCUAACCCUAGAUACUCGCAUACAUCAUCAUAUAUGUAUAUCUACAUAGAUACGAUAUCCAAUUUGAGCAGACGACAGGUGAAAAGUGAAAACAUUUGUUGGCUCGAAACAAACUUGCAAAAAAAAAAUUGCAAAACGCAACAAAAAAAUAUUGUGCCUGAUUUUUUAAAGACUU